rnacentral:pre_miRNA from 1 species
CCCUCCCGGCCUCUGCCUGUCCCGGGGGAGGCCGGAUCCUGGGCUGUGUCCCGGCGCCCUGUGCUCCGGGGCCUGCGCUGUUGGAUUCGCGCUCCCGGGCCGCGCAGCCCCCUCCGCGGAGCCGCCGCCCGAGCC